UUAAGUUCAGCGGGUAUCCCUACCCGAUCCGAGGUCGACCUGUUUGUUUGGGGGGUUCGAGGCGGGCGGCGCCGGGAGUCCGAUGCGAGCGUUUGCUACUGCGCAGGGGACGUCGCUGGCGCUGCCGCCGCUGGUCUGCGGGCCGCGCGGCGCCCUGGGGCGGCACGCGCUGGCCCAAGGCCGGGGCCGCGCCCCUGCAU
rnacentral:misc_RNA from 1 species